rnacentral:misc_RNA from 1 species
AAACGUUGGUGCUUGUCGCUCCAGUACCACACAGGGCUAGAGCCUAUGAACGCUCAGUGUGUGUGGCGUGGGGGUCUAGCGGUAGUCAGCCAUUGCCGAGCACCGCAGUGGAAUCAAAUCAAUGCAACACCGUGGAAUGAAAACUCAUUAAGGGACAUAGCACAGCGAGAGGGUACAGUUAGAAACACGCAUGGACGGAUGAAGUGAUGGCGGGCACUGGAAACAACUGGCGGACGAUGGUGGAUUGGAUCUACCACACGAAGUCGUGUUUGCCAACAAACGAACCUAAUUUAACUUUCUGGAAGUGUAACGGCGUGGAUUCCUCUCUUGAUGUUGUACAGCCUUGUGGGUUUAUGUGAGGUGUGAUAAUCACUGUGUUUCAUAUGCACCAUUAUUAACUGACGGUUCUGCUUGCCAAAUGUCAGACCUAACAUAUGUGACACAUCGCCAAGCAGUUGACCUAUAGGAAAUGCGAUGUAGACACCCACGACCCGGAUAUAAAACUGUUUUUAACAAUGUUACAUAACGUUAUAUAUCAUAUUAUAAAAACUAGUUUGGGGAAUCAUGUCUGUGUGUGAGCUCAUACCAUCAAAACGGAUAUACUAGAGACAUUGUUCUUUGGUUGACAUACGGGUCUUAACAAUCUGAAAAUGGCAGUGUAUCAUCUGGUCAAGUGUCACGUGGUGACCAAGUUACGUGUCUUUCUUUGCAUCUCCAUCUUCGGACUAGUCAACGCAACUUCAGAAGCUUUUAGACUUGGUAUUAUUGAUUCGUCUGUUGAUACCAACAUCUUCGACCUCGUGGACGCGCCGGAGGGGUUCCAAAUGACCCACCACAACCUCACCAACUACAGACACUACACCUACAAGAACAUCAAGAAAGCUCACCAAGAACUGCUGGACACGUCCGUUGACGCCAUCAUGGGCGACUACAACAGCGUGUACGUCGCCGUGACGAAACAAUUGAAGAUCAACUACUACGUCAUGUCCUUGACCCCCGAGGACCAGGCAGACACCAAGUUCAUGUACCAGUUCUUCCACGACGCCAGGGUCUUCUCAAGGGCCGUGCUCGACCUCGCCGACUACUACGCCUUUGACAAGAUCACCGUCAUUCACGACUCAUACGAAGGUGCGGUAAUUCUGGAGAGGGUUAUGAGGAAGUGGGAGGUGGAAGUUCGGUCGUUCAGGGUGACGGACCCAACAUCGGCUGAGUCGGAUUUGGAGCUGCGACAGGAGCUGAAGAAGAUGAGAGACUCGUACACCUUCACCUUCAUCGUCAUCUGUUCCAAGAACAAUACGGACAGAGUUCUACGCCAGGGGCUGACGCUGAGCAUGUUUUCCUCACCGAACAAAUGGCUGCUUGUGAACAUGGGGUUGGAGGAGUACGACAUGGCGGACUUCGUAGACUCCAAGGCCAACCUGACCAUCCUGCGGAUGAUGAUGGACAUGAACUCCAGUGCCUGCAGCCUGGGGAUGGACAACAUCAACCUGAGGAGGGCCAUACUGAAUGACGGCAUCCAGUACUGCUACAGCUACUGGGAAGUGUUCCAGAACAGUUCCGGCGGCGUCAGGAAAAGAAUCAAUGAGCGACGAGUUCACGGCUGUACAGGAUAUUUGGAAUUCAAUGGGCGAGGGAGACGGUCAGAGAAAUAUCUUCAAUUAAUGACUUUACAAGCCUUUAAAACUAACCAGGACCCGCAGGAGGGACAUUUUUAUGAUACCCACCUUUACGAAACUAAGGACGGCAGAGAGAGGAAAAUCACAUUUGAUCCACAAGGGACUGGAAUGUGGACAAACAUCCACGACAAGUUGAAGGACCGGGUGGCCACCUCCAAGUCCUACAGCAAGAGCGUCAGACUCGAGGGCAACGUCUUCCCUCCACGAAAACUCAGAAUAUCUACCAAAAUAGAGCCGCCGUUUGUACAACGGAACCGAGACACCGGGGACUUUGAGGGGCAUCUGAUUGACAUCAUUAAAGAAGUCAGUAAACUACUCCAGUUUGAGUACAACGUUUCCUUGGUACCUGAUGGAAAGUUUGGCAGCAAGAAGCCGUAUGGCUGGACAGGCAUGGUCAGACAACUCUUAGACGAUGAAGCUGACGUGGCUCUUGCUCCGUUCCAAGUCACGCCGUCUAGAUCAGAAGUUGUUGAUUUCACAAAGCCGUUCAUGACGAAAGGGACUACCGUCGUAAUAAAGAAACCAGAUGAGACAGGUCUGAAAGUAUUCCAGUUCCUGUCCCCUUUCACUGAUCAGGUGUGGAUCGCCAUCUUCUUCUCCUUCCUCAUCGUCAGCUUGGUGCUCUUCAGCGUCAGUAGGGUUAACUCUGACCGACAACAGAAGUACACCUACAACCUGAGGGAAAGCUUCUGGUACAUCUGGGGCACGUUGUUGAGGGGAAGCUUAGUCGGAGCUCCUCAUGCAAUCUCAAGUCGUAUUGUGGCCAGUGCGUGGUGGUUCUUCUGUCUCAUCCUGAUAUCCUUGUACACAGCCAAUCUGGCAGCCUUUCUGACAAUUACCAAUUCCAAUGUUGGUAUCAACUCAGCUGCUGAUUUAGCAAACCAAGACUAUUAUGAAUACGGUACCGUGGACGGUAGCCAAAUUGAGUACUUCUUUAGACAUACUAAAAUGACGGAUUAUCAGAAAAUGUGGGCACAUAUGUCCGCGCUACGCCCACAGUCGAUUGUCAGAAGAGUCGAAGAUGGAUUUGAAAGGGUCAACUCUGGUCGGUAUGCGUUCAUAUGGGAUUCACCUACAAUAACCCAUGAGAUAUCUGGAGACUGUAACCUGAUGCAGAUCGGCCACCCGUUUGAUCUGAAAGGGUAUGGGAUAGCAUACACGAAGAAUGCGCAGUUUGGUGAAGCUAUUACCUUGGCGAUACUUCGACUCAUUGAUGAGGGUGUCAUGUACGGCAUUGAACGAAAAUGGUGGAGACCCCAGUUCUGCCCUGACGCCCGGGCCAGCGCCAAGACCAAGUCCCUGGACGUGGAGAACGUGGCGGGCAUGUUCCUUGUGCUCGCUGGCGGGGUCGGGAUCUCCGGGAUGCUCUGCUUUGUCAAGUUCUGUAUUUCCAGGCCAAGAAUGAAAAAGACAAAGACAGCUACCUACCACGAUGACAUGGACAAGGAUGAGUCGAUCGUGAAUGACGUGUACGACAGAAAUACGGAGAUACAGGUCUAUGCCAAUCAUUCUGGGACGAACGGCAGAGGCGAAGCUUACGUUUCCUAGCACAGGCACCAGUGUUUAGGUCCAAUUUUGAUAGGGGAACCACACCCGUGGCUCGUGUUCGCUAUGCGAACUGAUGGUUAGUGAUUGUGAACACUGGAGUUGAGUGUCAGAAGCUCAGUUUUCACUGUCACAAGGUUUUUUGCAUAGUGCUAUUGAACCCAUUCGAGAAUGUGACAGAGAGGUCUUGACCUAAAUGAAGAUCAAGGUCAAGCUCAGGUGAAAAUUAAUGGGUGAAGGUGAAGGUCAACCUGAUAAAAACAUUUAGCCGAAUCCACGGUUAUGAUUGGAAAAAGACAAUAUCUUAAGAAUCCAAUUGAGAAUGUGCCAUUGUACAAUUUGUACAAGCUAAACCCUGUCCAAGUGGAAGCUGAAGACUGCAUGUCAAAACUCAUGUGUCUGCGCGCAUAUGUGGCUAUUAUUUUCAAUACAUUGGAACAUAAUUGCCAAAUAUCUAUUAACAAUUUCGAUAAUUUCACAGCCUUGUAAAGGUAUAAAAUAACAAUGUUUAUGGACAAUCUCUUUCAUUCGUAUCGUGCAUGUGAAAAUGAAUGAAUGUUCUGCCAAAACACAGCACAAAUAUGUGUUGAUUGUUAUGAAAGUACACAACAUGCGUUUAUACAUCUGCUGUAUUUAUGAGCCUUUGCGUCUAUAUUCCAUGUACAUAAGCCGUGAUGACUGCAACAUUUAAUCCUUUUCUACAAAUGGUCAAUCGUGUUGUGAAUGUUAAUGUGUCUGACUACAGGAAGUUGAAUCAUUGUUGGAACCGUAUGAAACCAUUCUAAGUAAAACCCUGUUAAUCAACACUGUAUUGUUCCCAGUGAAAUACUCCUGAUUAAGAUCUUAAGAUCAACUGUAUGACGUAUUAUACCUUUGUGUUUGUGUAUAUAUUGGGAGCAUGUAUGAUCCAGUCGCAACAAUUCGCUGUGCCGAGUUGCGUCCCUUUUGUACACCAGAAAUAUACGAUCGUGGGUUCGAAUCCCAGAUUCGCCCUGAAUUUGUUUCUAGGUUUGUCAGCACCAUAUCCGUGCUAAAAGACACUCCAGGCUUUCCUCCCACAUUAAGCUGCCACGCCAUGAUAUAACUGUAAAAUUGUUCAAGCGGCACUGUAUAUAUGUAGGCGUCCCCAUCAUUAAUCGUCCGGAUUUGGGGGUUUCUGGACUAACGAGGUCCGUGUUAAAAGGGUUUCACUGUGGCACUAUUUGUAACAAUAAGGAGACCCAAAAUAAACUGCUGGGCAAAAGAAGGUACGUACACUUAAAAUAGAUUUGACCAUAACAGUACAAAACGUUGAACACAGGCUGAAACAGUCGUCGAAACACUCCUUUCUUUAGCCCGACAGUUUAGUCGACUUGUUUCACAAGGUCGUACCAGUGAUUGGGACCCUGUGGUCCGGCCUUAAUCAUUAUUCCACUGUAAUUAUGACAAGAAUCUGCUGGUCUGUUCUCAUAGUCAUACUGAUGUAAUUAACAAAACUGAAUGAACUCUGCAAUUGAAUGUUUAAUAUUGUCAUGAAGCUUUACAGUUUUGAACACUAAAGACAUUUACUGUAUCUUUUGUCAUUUUGUUCAUAAGACGCGUACGUGUCUCCCCUGGGGAUUCCGGGUCAAAAUAGAUCCCUGCUAAAAUAUGCUUGUCUCCCAGUUGGGAGUCCGGGUUAGAAUAGGUCCCCAUUAACCUGUAGCGUGGCAUAGUACCUUGACUUACUCCCAGCACCCGGCAUGUAGCUUGAACAUCACAGACUGCGGAACAUCACAAAUGCAACAAACAAACAAAACGGAUAAACGUUCCUUCCACGGUUGAAAGAAAGUUGACCACCUUUCUAUGACAGGCAGGUAUGCCUUUAUUUUAUAUGUAAAUGUUCUCUACGUUCAACUUGGUUGAAGACCAAUAGGAGUGAGCGAUCAAGUUUGAUUGUUUAUCAGUUUGAUAUUAAAGCGUAUGGGGUUAUUGUGAAGUGAAAGUGAAAUUUAAUCGUUUAUCAUUUGGCGAAACCCACAAGCACGUGUUUGGUGCUAUAAGACCCAUUAAUAUCAUGUCGAAUCUUGGAUUCAAACCCACGAUCAGAGGACCCUGGUACGACUAUGGGACAUAACAGCGAAUUGCAUCGACCUCUUCUUAUAGAACGAUCAUUGAAUAAAAAACACGUUUUAAACACUGGAUAA